GAUGAACGCUAGCUACAGGCUUAACACAUGCAAGUCGCGGGGCAGCAUGGGGGUUGCUUGCACUCCCCGAUGGCGACCGGCGCACGGGUGAGUAACGCGUAUCCAACCUGCCCUUCACCACGGGAUAACCCGGCGAAAGUCGGACUAAUACCGUAUGUUGUCCAUUGACGGCAUCCGAUUUGGACGAAAGGUUUGGCGGUGAAGGAUGGGGAUGCGUCCGAUUAGCUGGACGGCGGGGUGACGGACCACCGUGGCGACGAUCGGUAGGGGCUCUGAGAGGAAGGUCCCCCACACUGGAACUGAGACACGGUCCAGACUCCUACGGGAGGCAGCAGUGAGGAAUAUUGGUCAAUGGGCGUAAGCCUGAACCAGCCAAGUAGCGUGCAGGAUGACGGCCCUAUGGGUUGUAAACUGCUUUUAUGCGGGGAUAAAGUGGCCCACGUGUGGGUUUUUGCAGGUACCGCAUGAAUAAGGACCGGCUAAUUCCGUG
rnacentral:rRNA from 1 species